UACGUAGGGAGCAAGCGUUGUCCGGAAUCAUUGGGCGUAAAGCGCGCGUAGGUGGUCCCGUAAGUCCGCUGUGAAAGUCAAAGGCUCAACCUUUGAAAGCCGGUGGAUACUGUGGGACUAGAGUACGGAAGAGGCGAGUGGAAUUCCUGGUGUAGCGGUGGAAUGCGCAGAUAUCAGGAGGAACACCUAUAGCGAAGGCAGCUUGCUGGGACGUUACUGACGCUAAGGCGCGAAAGCGUGGGGAGCGAACAGG
rnacentral:rRNA from 1 species